GAUGAACGGUGGCGGCGUGCCUAAUACAUGCAAGUCGAGCGAACAGACGAGGAGCUUGCUCCUCUGACGUUAGCGGCGGACGGGUGAGUAACACGUGGAUAACCUACCUAUAAGACUGGGAUAACUUCGGGAAACCGGAGCUAAUACCGGAUAAUAUAUUGAACCGCAUGGUUCAAUAGUGAAAGACGGUUUUGCUGUCACUUAUAGAUGGAUCCGCGCCGCAUUAGCUAGUUGGUAAGGUAACGGCUUACCAAGGCAACGAUGCGUAGCCGACCUGAGAGGGUGAUCGGCCACACUGGAACUGAGACACGGUCCAGACUCCUACGGGAGGCAGCAGUAGGGAAUCUUCCGCAAUGGGCGAAAGCCUGACGGAGCAACGCCGCGUGAGUGAUGAAGGUCUUCGGAUCGUAAAACUCUGUUAUUAGGGAAGAACAAAUGUGUAAGUAACUAUGCACGUCUUGACGGUACCUAAUCAGAAAGCCACGGCUAACUACGUG
rnacentral:rRNA from 1 species